rnacentral:rRNA from 2 species
GAGUUUGAUCCUGGCUCAGGACGAACGCUGGCGGCGUGCCUAAUACAUGCAAGUCGAACGAACUCUGGUAUUGAUUGGUGCUUGCAUCAUGAUUUACAUUUGAGUGAGUGGCGAACUGGUGAGUAACACGUGGGAAACCUGCCCAGAAGCGGGGGAUAACACCUGGAAACAGAUGCUAAUACCGCAUAACAACUUGGACCGCAUGGUCCGAGUUUGAAAGAUGGCUUCGGCUAUCACUUUUGGAUGGUCCCGCGGCGUAUUAGCUAGAUGGUGGGGUAACGGCUCACCAUGGCAAUGAUACGUAGCCGACCUGAGAGGGUAAUCGGCCACAUUGGGACUGAGACACGGCCCAAACUCCUACGGGAGGCAGCAGUAGGGAAUCUUCCACAAUGGACGAAAGUCUGAUGGAGCAACGCCGCGUGAGUGAAGAAGGGUUUCGGCUCGUAAAACUCUGUUGUUAAAGAAGAACAUAUCUGAGAGUAACUGUUCAGGUAUUGACGGUAUUUAACCAGAAAGCCACGGCUAACUACGUGCCAGCAGCCGCGGUAAUACGUAGGUGGCAAGCGUUGUCCGGAUUUAUUGGGCGUAAAGCGAGCGCAGGCGGUUUUUUAAGUCUGAUGUGAAAGCCUUCGGCUCAACCGAAGAAGUGCAUCGGAAACUGGGAAACUUGAGUGCAGAAGAGGACAGUGGAACUCCAUGUGUAGCGGUGAAAUGCGUAGAUAUAUGGAAGAACACCAGUGGCGAAGGCGGCUGUCUGGUCUGUAACUGACGCUGAGGCUCGAAAGUAUGGGUAGCAAACAGGAUUAGAUACCCUGGUAGUCCAUACCGUAAACGAUGAAUGCUAAGUGUUGGAGGGUUUCCGCCCUUCAGUGCUGCAGCUAACGCAUUAAGCAUUCCGCCUGGGGAGUACGGCCGCAAGGCUGAAACUCAAAGGAAUUGACGGGGGCCCGCACAAGCGGUGGAGCAUGUGGUUUAAUUCGAAGCUACGCGAAGAACCUUACCAGGUCUUGACAUACUAUGCAAAUCUAAGAGAUUAGACGUUCCCUUCGGGGACAUGGAUACAGGUGGUGCAUGGUUGUCGUCAGCUCGUGUCGUGAGAUGUUGGGUUAAGUCCCGCAACGAGCGCAACCCUUAUUAUCAGUUGCCAGCAUUAAGUUGGGCACUCUGGUGAGACUGCCGGUGACAAACCGGAGGAAGGUGGGGAUGACGUCAAAUCAUCAUGCCCCUUAUGACCUGGGCUACACACGUGCUACAAUGGAUGGUACAACGAGUUGCGAACUCGCGAGAGUAAGCUAAUCUCUUAAAGCCAUUCUCAGUUCGGAUUGUAGGCUGCAACUCGUCUACAUGAAGUCGGAAUCGCUAGUAAUCGCGGAUCAGCAUGCCGCGGUGAAUACGUUCCCGGGCCUUGUACACACCGCCCGUCACACCAUGAGAGUUUGUAACACCCAAAGUCGGUGGGGUAACCUUUUAGGAACCAGCCGCCUAAGGUGGGACAGAUGAUUAGGGUGAAGUCGUAACAAGGUAGCCGUAG